rnacentral:tRNA from 2 species
GACGCUACGGACUUAAAAAAUCCGUCGACUUUAAAAAUCGUGAGGGUUCAAGUCCCUCUAUCCCCA